rnacentral:rRNA from 1 species
AUGGAUCGGGCUGCUCCCCCCUGCUGCAGAGGCGCCGCGGUGCUGAUACUUCUGAUCUUCCUGCCGUUGAGCGCAUCCGAUGACCGGCUUGUCCCCGGCGAACCACUCUCUCCUGGCUCCACAAUCGUCUCCACAAUCGUCUCCGAUGGUGGUGCUUUUGCCUUGGGCUUCUUCGCCCCCUCCGACUCCACUCCGGCCAAGCUAUACCUUGGCAUAUGGUACAACAACAUUCCUGGUCUCACCGUCGUGUGGGUCGCCAACCGAGAAACUCCGGCCAUCAACACCGCACCCUCAGCACCGACCCUCUCCCUCAACAACACCUCCAAUCUCGUCAUAUCCGACGGUGACGAUGGCAGCCGUGUCGUCUGGGCAACAGCCAACAUGGGAGCCGCUGCCUCAGGCUCGUCUCCCCCGACGGCAGUGCUUCUGAAUACGGGCAACCUCGUGGUCCGGUCGUCAAACGGCACCAUUCUAUGGCAGAGUUUCGACCACCAAACCGACACAUUCCUUCCUGGGAUGAAGCUCGGGAUAAAGUACAACACGCAUGGCGAUAGGGACGAACGCCUGGUAUCCUGGAAGGGCCCCGGCGACCCCUCGCCGGGGCGCUUCUCCUACGGCGCUGACCCGGUGACGUUCCUCCAAUUAUUCCUCUGGGAUGGGGAGCAGCCAGUGGCCCGCAGUGCCCCGUGGACGGGGUACUCGGUUAGUGGUGACUACCUUACGGGGAACAUUAGCACGGAGCUCGUCAUCUACCAGGCUGUCGUCGACAACGACGAUGAGAUCUACGUCACCUACAGCCUCUCCGACGGCGCCCCUAACACCAGGUAUGUGCUCACCCACUCCGGUGAGUUCCAAAUCCAGAGCUGGAGCCGCAACACAUCGGCGUGGGUAGUCCUUGGGAAGUGGCCGUCCCAUGAAUGCAACCGCUAUGGAUACUGUGGCACGUACGGCUACUGUGAUGAGACGGACUCGCCUGUGUACACGUGCAAGUGCCUUGACGGCUUCGAGCCGGCGAGCGAGGAGGAAUGGGCUGGCGGCAAUUUCUCUGCGGGGUGUCGGCGGAAGGAGCAGCUGCGAGGGUGUGGCGAUGGCUUCUUAGCACUGCCAGGGAUGAUGUCCCCAGACAAGUUUGAGCUCGUCGGCGGCAAGGAUAUAAAUACAUUCGGUGAGUGCACGGCGGAGUGCAGCCGCAACUGCUCCUGCAUGGCAUAUGCCUAUGCCAACUUAAGCAGCGGAAGUACCGGAAGAGGCAGGACGAUGUGCUUGGUGUGGGCUGGAGAGUUGGUCGACACGGGGAAGAUUGGCACGGUGCUUGGUAGCGACACACUUUAUCUCCGUCUUGCCGGCCUUGAUGCUGCAGCUGGUAAAAGUACAAAGAGCAAUAAAAUAAGGAUUGUACUGCCAGUUUUAGGCGGUAUUUGUGUUCUCCUACUCAUAAGCUUCUGCCUCGCAUGGUUAAAAUACAAAGGUAAAAACAAAAGAUGGAGAAAGCACAUGAGUAUUUGGUUGGAUGAUAUGAAUACCACCGAUCAACGUGGGGAAGAAAACCCUCCCCAUGGUGAUGAAUUUCCAUCUUUCAGAUUUGAACAAAUUUCCCUCGCAACACACAAUUUCUCUCAAACAUGCAUGAUCGGACGGGGAGGGUUUGGCAAAGUUUACAAGGGAAUAUUAGGUGGUCAAGCAGUUGCCGUGAAGAGGCUAAGUAAGGAUUCUCAACAAGGAACAAAGGAAUUCAAGAAUGAAGUAAUUCUAAUAGCCAAAUUGCAACACAGAAACUUGGUUCGUCUUCUUGGAUGUUGUGCCGAGGGAGGAGAAAAGCUACUGAUUUAUGAGUAUCUGCCUAAUAAGAGCUUAGAUGCCACAAUUUUUGAUGAUUCAAGAAAAUUGUUGUUGGAUUGGACAAAACGGUUUAAUAUAAUAAAAGGAGUCGCUAAGGGACUUCUCUACCUCCACCAAGAUUCAAGACUGACAAUAAUUCAUAGAGAUCUCAAAGCUGGAAAUGUUUUGCUAGAUGCAGAGAUGAAACCUAAGAUAGCAGACUUUGGUAUGGCCAGGAUCAUCGUUGAUAACCAACAAAGUGCAAAUACCCAACGGGUUGUCGGAACAUAUGGAUACAUGGCUCCUGAGUAUGCAAUGGAAGGUCUCUUCUCUACCAAAUCUGAUGUCUACAGCUUUGGCGUGCUACUACUAGAGGUUGUGACUGGUAUAAGGAGAAGCUCAAAUAGUCAAACUAUGGGCUUCCCAAGCCUCACAGUCUAUUCAUGGAAUAUGUGGAACGAAGGGAAGACUGAGGAUUUGCCGGACUCAUCUAUUAUGGAUAACUGUUCACCAGAUGAAGUUUUGCUUUGCGUCCAUGUAGCACUCUUAUGUGUCCAGAGAACCCCGAUGACAGACCACAUAUGUCAUUUAUUGUGUUCCUCCUAG